GCACGCAGCCUCGGGGCGGACGCUGCCUCACGUGGCGCACGGCGCGGAGUGCAGCGCUUGACCCUACACGUCCCGCCGGCCUUGGUGUCCUCUGAGAAUGUUCUUCUUUUUGCUGUCUGCCAACCUACUUCUACUUCUUCAUGGUGAAGUCUCAGUGUGGGAAGAAGAGUUGCGGGCCCAUCCCUUCACUGAUGUUACCCUCUCCUGUCAUUUUUCCUUUGUGGAGGGCACAGAAAAUCUUGAAUUUUCUUGGGAAAGAGAGGACAUCAGAGAGGAAUAUGAAGUAGAUGAUGAUGAGCAAUUUUACCGCUUUUUCCGGUACUAUGAUUUCUUUGAAGUUUUCACGAAGUUAGUUUACCAGUUUGGCAAUAACACAGAGCAACUAGAAGAUCAAAAUGCCAUGUAUGAAGGAAGAGUUUCAGUGGAUCGGAAUGAAAUUUCUGAGGGGUCUCUGUCACUUCUACUAAGAAAUGUGAACUUCAUGGAUGAAGCGAUGUACAAGUGCUCAGCCAUCACACCAGAUGGAAGAGGCGAAAGCACAAUGAAGCUAAUCGUAGAAGACUCUGAAAUGCCCCAGGUGCAAUUUGACAAGAUUGGCGAGGAGGAUGUGGCCACUUGCAUCUCCAAGGGCUGGUACUUUGCACCCAAUGUGACCUGGUUGGACCGGGGCGAGAGGGACCUGAGUAAUCACAGUACAGUUGAGGUCCUGGAGGAGCAGAUGAAUGGCCUGUAUCGGGUGUACUCUGUUCUGAAAUAUCCAGUCAAGUUAAAUGAGAAAUAUGUCUGUCAUAUCAAAGAGACAGACCAGAACUACAAGCCCUUCAGAAUAAUCCGCAGGUACCCCAAUGGAGGAAAAAACAACAUGUUAGUAUGUUGAUAAUGAACAUAUGAGGAGGACAAAUUUGACUGUGCAGGAGAAGGCAAAGAGUUGCUGAGUAAUGUCUCAGAUAGAAGGAGAGAAGAUAUCCCCCAUCAUAUGAUUACUAUUAAGAGAUGUGAAUAACAUCUGCUCAAGGACCUGUCUUCCUUUAAGCCACUGGAGCUCCUGAUUUCUUUUGUGGAUUAUCUAUUUUUCGUCUUAGACAAAAAUAAAUUUACUGAUCAUAAACAGAAAAAA